ensembl:lncRNA
GGUUCUUCAGAUUGCAAUGAAACCACGAUCAGACUACUGCCCAUAUCACAAGGAUCGAUUCAGAACCAAACAUGAAUGUACACAUGAAUUCAUAUACAUUUGCACAUAACAUGGAAAUCACAAUCGGGGGAAGGUUUAAGCAUGCAACCAGGUUGGUCCAGUGCAAGAGGGUUGCUUGGUGACUGCAGGCUAUUGACCCUGACCAAGCUGUGCGGUGGGUGACUGACCAGAGUCAGAAGAGCGGCAUGCCUGUCGUGUCACGAGAGGACGGGACUGACGCGCACGCCGUGAACUUUUGAGUGGUGGCACUAGUUUUAUAUUGACUUAAGCAUGUCAUUCCCAUUGAAUAGCUAUAAAUAAAUCUUAUUU